UAGGAAAUUUUGAUAAAAUUGCUGGUUAAAAUAUUCCAAAAUAAAUAUAAAAUUCAACAAAAUGCAAUCAAAAUUUCAUCAAAAUUUUAUUAUAAUUUUAUUACAAUUUUUCCACCAGGGAAUACAUAUAUACAUUAUACAUAUUCAUCUGGGCGUAUGUGUGCGUGAGUUACAAGUACAUAUAUACAUACUCGCAUAUACGUAAUAUACACACGUAUAUUAGAUAUCUAAUUGCAACAAAUGACUUCAGAAACAAACAAUAGCAUAAUUUAAAAAAAAGUCGUUAUUGCAGCUAUUUAAUACUUCUUACGUAGUGCGUCAAGAGUAUCUCUUGAAGCUUUGCAGUUACAAGAAGUGGCUCUUUAUCCUUUUCUCUAUUUACAAUUACAAUAUGUUAUAUAUGCGAUACUCUGAAUACGAUUUUAUUACUAAAAUUGAUAUACAAUAUGUGAAUCUAAUUUGUGUAAAAAUAAUUGUAACAUAAGUGCUCUGACAAGAACCUAGUAAUCUCUUCUUUGUGUUUAUUGUAAAAAAUAAAUAUAAAAGUUUGUAAGAUAUUAAAGAUAAUCUACACAUGCACACACACACACACAUGCACACACACACACACACACACACACACACACACACACACACACACACACACACAGACACGCGCGCGCGCGAAUUUGUUAUUAUUUGAAUUAUUUCAAAUAUAAUUAUACAGAUAUCUAACCACACGAGGUGUGGUAUUAAUAAAUUAUGAACUUUUUCUUAACAUACCUUUCACGUAAUUUAUAUAUAGAAAAAAAUUGCUGAUACUCUGGCAUAAGUCCAUAUCAGAUUAUCGACUAUGAAGGCUCUGAUUGUUAAUUCGUGUUUAGGGCGGAUCCAAUUAUUUUCAAUUUGCGUGAUCAGUUGAUUGAAUUUAGGAAUAGCCAACUUUGAAACUUAAAAUUGGUCGUAUUAUUUUACUUUACUUGUCUAUUUUCUACAAAUUAUUAUUUGUGUAAAAUAUAUUUAUACAAAUAAUAAUUUAAUUUAAUAAUUUAGUAAUUUUUUAUUAAAAUAAUUAAAAAAUUAGUUUAAGGAUGAUCACUUUUAAAUUUCACAGUUGGCGAUUUAUAAAUUUUUUUAAUCAGCCGUUUUUUUUUAGAUUAAUUGGAAUUUGUGAGAGUGGGAGCACAGACUUACAUAACGCAUAAAAGAAUUAACCAAUCAGUUCUUCAUUUCUAUCCUGGAAGAUACUUGUUGUCGGUUAAGAACUAGGGUGCGUUAUUCAGAGUGCUAAAAAGUUAUAAAUAUAGCGCUCAGAUCGAGGAUGUCUUCGGAGGAUAUGCAUCUUCUCGGCCGAUGAAAAGAUUGAAGUUGGUAGAAUGCCGAAGUAUGGCAGAGCUAAAGCAAUCUAAUAAUGGGGAAUUCGUCAGCCAAAGAUAAAUAUGGAAUCCGAGGAUAUAGAAUUAAUGGCGAAAACCAUUGAGAGUCACUUCGGGUUGUUGUGUGGCUCCGUGUGUAGAGCGUCGGAUUCAUUAGUAUCAGAUUGCAGAGUUUGAUUCCAGAUAUUGUGUAUAUACGAAUUUUUAAUUUGUAUAUUUAAGUACAAGGGACUGAUAGUUCCACCUGCUUCCUAAUUAUAAGUUUGCUCGACUUCAAUAUUGCUAAUUAUACUAAUAAUACGACUGCA